rnacentral:rRNA from 1 species
UGGGAUCCUUUAGAGAUAGAGGAGUGCCUUCGGGAACUCUGAGACAGGUGCUGCAUGGCUGUCGUCAGCUCGUGUUGUGAAAUGUUGGGUUAAGUCCCGCAACGAGCGCAACCCUUAUCCUUUGUUGCCAGCGCGUGAUGGCGGGAACUCAAAGGAGACUGCCGGUGAUAAACCGGAGGAAGGUGGGGAUGACGUCAAGUCAUCAUGGCCCUUACGAGUAGGGCUACACACGUGCUACAAUGGCAGAUACAAAGAGAAGCGACCUCGCGAGAGCAAGCGGAACUCAUAAAGUCUGUCGUAGUCCGGAUUGGAGUCUGCAACUCGACUCCAUGAAGUCGGAAUCGCUAGUAAUCGUAGAUCAGAAUGCUACGGUGAAUACGUUCCCGGGUCUUGUACACACCGAAACA